rnacentral:tRNA from 1 species
GCCGAAGUGGCGGAACCGGUAGACGCGGCGGUCUCAAAAGCCGCUGCCCGCGAGGGCGUGUGGGUUCGAGUCCCACCUUCGGCA